rnacentral:rRNA from 1 species
CCUACGGGAGGCAGCAGUGAGGAAUAUUGGUCAAUGGACGAGAGUCUGAACCAGCCAAGUAGCGUGAAGGAUGACUGCCCUAUGGGUUGUAAACUUCUUUUAUAAAGGAAUAAAACGAGGCACGUGUGCCUUUUUGCAUGUACUUUAUGAAUAAGGAUCGGCUAACUCCGUGCCAGCAGCCGCGGUAAUACGGAGGUUCCGAGCGUUAUACGGAUUUAUUGGGGUUAAAGGGAGCGUAGAUGGGUUGUUAAGUCAGCUGUGAAAGUUUGCGGCUCAACCGUAAGAUUGCAAUUGAUACUGGCAGUCUGGAGUACAGUUGAGGUAAGCGGAAUUCGGGGUGUAGCGGUGAAAUGCUUAGAUAUCCCGAAGAACCCCGAUGGCGAAGGCAGCUUACUAAGCUGUGACUGACAUUGAUGCUCGAAAGUGUGGGUAUCAAACAGGAUUAGAUGCCCCAGUAGUC